GUAAGGAAUAUUGGUCAAUGGACGAAAGUCUGAACCAGCCAUGCCGCGUGGAGGAUGAAGGUCCUCUGGAUUGUAAACUUCUUUUAUAUGGGACGAAAAUGGGGCUUUCUAGCUCAACUGACGGUACCAUAUGAAUAAGCACCGGCUAACUCCGUGCCAGCAGCCGCGGUAAUACGGAGGGUGCAAGCGUUAUCCGGAGUCACUGGGUUUAAAGGGUGCGUAGGUGGAUUGGUAAGUCAGAGGUGAAAUCUCCGGGAUUAACUCGGAAACUGCCUUUGAUACUAUCAAUCUUGAAUAUUGUGGAGGUUAGCGGAAUAUGUCAUGUAGCGGUGAAAUGCUUAGAUAUGACAUAGAACACCAAUUGCGAAGGCAGCUGGCUACACAUAUAUUGACACUGAGGCACGAAAGCGUGGGGAUCAAACAGGAUUAGAAACCCUUGUAGUCC
rnacentral:rRNA from 1 species